GUGUUUUCUUUGGCAGCACGUACUCUAAAAUUGGAACAAUACAGCGAAGAUUAGUGUGGCCCUGCGAAGGAUGACACGCACGUUUGGGAAGUGUUCUGUAGUUUC
ensembl:snRNA LOC120095364 U6 spliceosomal RNA